rnacentral:rRNA from 1 species
GUGGGGAAUAUUGGGCAAUGGGGGAAACCCUGACCCAGCAACGCCGCGUGAGGGAAGAAGGUUUUCGGAUUGUAAACCUCUGUCCUUGGUGACGAAGGAAGUGACGGUAACCAAGGAGGAAGCCCCGGCUGACUACGUGCCAGCAGCCGCGGUAAUACGUAGGGGGCAAGCGUUGUCCGGAAUGACUGGGCGUAAAGGGCGUGUAGGCGGCCGAUUAAGUCUGGAGUGAAAGUCCUGCUUUCAAGGUGGGAAUUGCUUUGGAGACUGGUUGGCUUGAGUGCGGAAGAGGUAAGUGGAAUUCCCAGUGUAGCGGUGAAAUGCGUAGAGAUUGGGAGGAACACCAGUGGCGAAGGCGACUUACUGGGCCGUAACUGACGCUGAGGCGCGAAAGCGUGGGGAGCGAACAGGAUUAGAUACCCGGGUAGUCC